UUAUUUCGGGAAUAAGCCAAAUCAAGCGAAAAAUUGGUUACCUCAAAAAGUAUGCUAAUCAAACUUUUUGCAAUUAAUUUCAUUUGCGUUCGAAGCAAAGUAAUCAAUGUGUUUCUUGCCACAUUUUGACGAACUUCGCUUUUUGAUUAAAGAAAAUAAACAGCAAAAAUAAAAAUAAAUGUAAAUUUUUUCAUACUUAUUAUAGCUUUGCGAGAAAUUUGUACACAGUUUUUUCGCCUUAAUUUUCAUCAAAUCGCAUAUCUUUAAUUAACCCAAACGUGGUGCACACAAAACGAAACCAAUUUCACACAGGAAACGUGUCGCAAGCAGCGCGUCGCGUCGCAUAGCCCCGCUGUGGCACCAAACAGAGUGCACAAAUUGAGAUGACGACUGAAGCCUGAAAAGCAAUGGAAAGUAAAAAAAAGAGACGCUGUUAACAAGAAAACCAAAAAUAAAUUGAAUGUCUCACUAUGAGUGGUAAAAGAGGAAGUGUGAGGGCGUGCGAAGCGAUGUGUGCGAGUUUAUUUUCAGCAUUCAAGAGUUCAAAGAAAAUUUUAAUGUUGGACAGAAAGGUCGGUAAAAUUGGACUGUCAGCAGUACCUCAAGUGAUCAAUUAGACAGCAGGGCAUACUUGAGGUGGUGGAGAUGAAGGUGGUAAAAGCUAAUUUAUUUAAUGCUAUAUUAGGAUUACAUUUUUAAAUAUAGGUUCAAUUUGGAAAAAAUUUAAAAUAUAAUUUUUGAAAAGAAAUGUUUGAAAAAAAAUUUGGAAAAACUUAAAAAAAAAAUUGAGAAAUAAAUAAAAAAAAUA